AGCAGCAGGAAUGACCUGGGGUGAACUGACUGUGACCCCCAUUCCCAUCUCCCUGCACCACUGGGGGACAGGAGUGUUCCAGGAGGCUGCUGUUGCUGACAUUUUCAUUCCUCAGUGGGGCUCACGGCACAUGUGUGACCUGAGAACAUCCUGCUGUGCCUUCAAAGGAUGAUCUUCCACAACCCUCUCUGUGUGAAGGUGGGAUCUCCUCUCCUGACUUGCCAGACAUCAGUUUAAUAAGAGGACCGAACUGAAGAUCCUCCUCGGAGGUGACUUGCUCUCCUCCUCCUCUCCCGACAGGGAGAAGGUUAAUGAGCUCCUGUUGUAACCUCAGAGAGACUCUCAAAACCUUCCAAAGCUGUGGGGAAGGGCUGCAACUCAGAGCCAGACAUCCUGAGUGAAGUAAAUGCUCUCAAAACACUUGAGGGAGGAAAGGUUUGGGGUGGGGAUGGACAGCUUGGCUUUUAAGGCUUGGACUUUCUUCUUGGCUCCCCAAAGUCUCCCUGAAGCCCAGGUACAGAGCAGCUGCUCUGCCAGGUCUGUGGAUCCUGUUGGCAGCAAGUACUUCUGUUAAAUUCCUUAUUUCACCUCUGACUCCACACAGGGGGAUUUGGGGCUCAUUUACCCUUUUUGGCAGUUUGUGUUAAAUCCCCUCCUGGUCCCGGUGCUGACUGUGGUGCUCCUGACUCUGCAACCUCGCGUUUGCCUCUCACAAAGCCACUUCAGAGGAGCUGAAAGUGCCUGGAGAGAGUUUUAAGCCUGGCUACUGCAGAGUGCAGAGCUCCUCAGUUUCCUUUUUAAAGGCAGUGAAAGCUGCCAUUGUGUUAAAAUCAAGAGGGAUGUGAAUCUCCAAGUCUCAGUAAAUUAUUCUUGUCACUCAGUGUCUCCUCCUGCAUUUGGAUUUCUCUGAAGCUUAUUAAAACAUACCUGAAAAAUAAGAAGGGGAAACAGCACCUCGGGUCACAGUAAAUGAUGUUGUUUAUAGUUUGUCUACACCAGGAAAGACAGUAAAUUAAUUUGAGCUCCUCACAUCAGGGAGACUUCAGAUGACAGUGAAUCUCUGUGGGGACACCAUGUGCAACCUGAUUUCUAACUUUUACCUAAUUUUGAAAAGAAGGAGUGGAAAUGGGUGAUCUCUCUCUGUAAAUUAGGACCUGGACAGACAAAUCACCCUGGUCUGGAGAAGGAAAGAAUGGCCUCAUGUUUGUGGUGUGGAAGAAAUGGGUUGUGUUCUUGUCUGACACAAACCUUGUGUGACCUUUCACAAAGCACUAAAUUAGCCCAACUUUUGUCUUCCCCUGUUUUAUAGCAGCUCUAAAAUGCUCAUGAAGUCUAUUAUUUUUUUUUUUUUUGCUAGUUUAGCUUCAAUUGAAGUGUUUGUGGUUUUCCAGAGCAGAUCAGAUUGUGUGGCAUUGCCCUUCUUACCGUUCCCACUCACUCACGGUGUCAUCCUAUCCCAGGAGAGCAUUCCAUAGGGCCAGCAAGUUCCCAUCAGUGGGGUGGGGUGGGUGCAGUUACCUCAGAGUCUUCCAGGCCCAAAGGUAGGAUCCUGCAAACACCUGAAAAAUUAUGAUUGUUUUUUAGUCUAAACAUGACCCAUGGAAACCACACAGAGAAAAGACACAGAGAGUAGACACAAAAAAUAUCUGUGACUUGUCUAAAACCCACUGGUAUUUUGGAAUCUGCAGGUGUCACCAGAACACUUUGUAUAGUGGAAAACUGUUCUCUUUACAGAUUACUUUGUGAAGUAAAUGAAGGACUCUGUAUUUUCUUCCUUCAGUGUGCAGACAGAGCACUCCUUGUGCCAGUCCUUCUCCUGGCUUUGGGAACUGUGCGUGACCAACCUGAUCUCCACCUUUCAACCUUCCAUCUGGAAUUCUGAAAACCUUCCUGAGAAAAUGUCUGUUAGUCUUUGUAACCUUUUUUAUUCCCCGGAAGAGAGCCUUAAAUUGAGACUGAGAAAAGAAAGAUGUGCGUAAACCCUUGUUUUGGAAAGAAAGGGAAGAAUCGUGUGCUUCAAUCCUUGAAAAUUGCUGUAUUACAGAGGACAGCUCCUGGUUUAUUUUGUUUGUUGAUGAUACGUGUUUCUAAGGGUUUAUUCCCCGGUUCAGACUCAUUAAAGCAUCUUUUGGAGGAGUCCCUUUUAAGAAGGGAGCAGGAGGGAUGGAAGCAAAAGGCCGCCCCUGUCUUAAGGUUUCUUGAUGUUUUCUUUAUUCCUGGUUCUUUUUUGGCCAGGAGAAAUUCAUAGCCAAGUCCUGUCUGCUUACACAAAGGCUCCAUUGAUCCUAACUUUGUGAUGAAUGGCCAGCUCGAGUGUGAGAGAGAAAAACCACAUUUUUAUCCAGAAAUCUGUGCUCCUGCCAACAAUCUUCAUUCUCUUUGUGCAAGAAAUAAACCAGUUUUCUACGAUUUUCUCAGGUGGAAAAGGGCAAACUACCCUUUGCUUUACUGUUCUGGAGUGGAGGGAGCUCCAACAAUUCCUAUUUGUCCAUUGGGAUGGCUGCCCACGAGGAAUCGCUCAUUUUUCUUUCAGAGAUCCAGGUUCGUUCCAUUUUUGGGAUAACAUUUUCUAUAAUAACCCCUACCUUGCAAUAAAGACUAAGGGGAGUUCAGCUGUUGGUUGAUGUAAAAAAAAAACAAACAUACAUAAGGUGCUGUAAACUAAUUCUUCUCUCUUCCCACAGAUAUUUUAGUCCUUGAGGCCCCUUUUAACAAAGCACUCAAGUGUCUGAUUGCCUUUACCCAUCACAUCUCAUCCAUCUCCCAUGUGUUCCCAUUUUCUCUUGGCUGGAAUUCCUCCAUAGUGCUCCUGGAAAUUUGCUCCAGGAAUCUUCUUGGAGAAAAGAAUUCCUAUUGGAGCAAUUCCUCUGCUGAGCAGGAGUGUGGAUGUGCUGCUCUAUACGUGUUAGUGCUCAACCCUGUUUUUCCACCUAUCUCUAACUGGGUUUCCAUCACUGCCAGCUGAUUGUUUCUUCUCUAUUUUCUCCUUUAUUCAAAUGUUUUAGAUAAUUUUCCACCGCCUGUAUUAUUUAAGAUGUUGCCACAACCUCAGAUGUGUCCAAAUUAGGCCUUUUUGAUUUGUUCCCUCUCCCCAUUUCUCCACUCUUUGCCUUUCUGGUGCUAGCCAUGUUUCCCAAAACAGAUUAAUUUGCCAGCUUUCUUAAUGUAAUUAUUUCUCAGCCUUCCAGGUCCUUUAGGAAAAUAUUAAAGAGUGGGAAUGAUAACCACAAUUCCCUUGUUUCUGCAGAAGAUUUCAACUUGGCAUCGUCCUCCUCCUCCUCCUCUUCUUUUGUUUGCAUUCAAUUACUCAGGUUUUGCAUCUGUCCAAUCCAAUUUGAAUUAACAUUUCAAUUACUCUUUCAUGGAAAAAGAGAGUAAAUGCUUCAUUAAAUCACAUGCUUUAUUAAAAUACCCAUUGACAUCUAUAAAGAAACUUCCCAACAUGAUGUUUUACAAGUGGUUUUGUGCAAAAUAUCAUAAACAGUCUUGAAAUAUGUAAAAUUUUUAAUUAGGUUGCAAUAUAAAAUGUCAGAUUUUUAAUGCCUUCUGUGUGAGGGGAUGAUGAACUGAUUUAAGAGGCAGAAGGUCUCAGGUUUCUGGAGGAAAUUUAUGUGUUUUUGUAGGGAAAUGGAGUGUUGGGGUCCCUGUGCAAUCACAAAUCACAGGACACUGUUCUUGUCAUGGAACAAAAAGAUCAGCCCUGUGCCCCCAGAUAUCAGCACAGAAACUUUCCACUGCUGGAGAGGGUUGGGUUGAGGGCCUGGAGUUGUUCCCAUUUACCCACAGCUCCUGUGGAGUCAGGGAAAUAGUGUGGGUGUGUCCCCAGGGGCAAAAAGCCAGCAGAAUCCCUCAAAAUCCAUCAAAGUUGUCCCCAAAUCCACCCAAACCUCCCCAAAUCCAAUUGAAACCUCCCCCUCCCCAAAUCUCCCAAAGUCCCAUUGAAAUACGGCAAAAUUGUAUCAAAAUUCCACUCAAAAUUUCAGCAAAAUCCCCCCAAACUCCCCCCAAAUCCACUUUAAAUACCCACAAAAUCCCAUCAAAAUUUCCACAAAUGCCCCUAAGAUGCCACAAAUUUCCCCAAAAUCGCACAAACCCUCCCAAAAUCCUAUCAAAAACUGCCCCAAAUGCACCAAAAUAUCUCCAGUUCCCCCCCCCCGAAUCCCCAAAUCUCCCCAAAUAUCCCCCCAUGUCCUGAAGUCCCCCAUUAAAAAUGAUUAACCCCCAAACUUAGGAACUUUCACCCCAAACCUCCCCAUUUUUGGGGCCGAAAAAAUGACAUUUUAGGUUAAAAGAAGUGCUUAAAUUUGCUCUUAACUAAGGUGAGUUACUACUGUGGGCAACUGGCUACAGAGUUACACUCCAUAUAGGUAAAAGCAACCACUAAAGUACUUAAACUUUAUGGUUUAUGGUUUGUCAGCCUUUGUGUCUCUGAAUAAUCACUCAGCAAAAAAUUAAAAAAACUAAAAAAAAAAAAAUAAAAUCAGAUAUUCUUGUUUCUUUCCAUUCCCUCACUCAGUAUUUCAUUUUAAACCUCCUUUAAAUUUCCUCCAGCCAGAAAGAAGCUGGUAAAGCAGUGUCAGGAGCUCUACUGGGGCAGAGCGAUGUCUCUGCUCCUCCACUUGCUGAGCAGACUCCUAAUUAUGGCAGGAAGAUAUUUUAUAACAAAGGCAUAAAAAAAAAAGCCCUUUUUUACUAGCUGUUCACACGCCUGCUAUAAUUAGCACUACACUGGGAAGUUUGCUUGCAGUUCAUCUGAACACAUCUACUUUUAACCUCGAUGACCGAGUUGUUUCUCAUGUGCUCAGUCAUGGAUUAAUGCUGAAAAGAUGGAGGUGACCUUUUUUUUUCCCCUUUUUUUUUUUUUUUAAACCCUACAGCCACUCAGCCUGUGAAUAUAUUAGCUGCAAAACCAUUUCAUCAGUGCUGCAAGACUGAAGAACUCCCAGGUUUGACACAGCUGUGAGAACUGCUACAGAAGGGUAAAAUACUUAUGAAGACAAGAAUAGGCUUUAUAUUGCAUUUAAUCUAAGCUAAUAAUUUUGUCAAUCUAUUUAAUAAUUUGAAUUAUCACAGGGGCACAGCUGCCUCCCCAUGGGCAGCAGGAGAACCUCAGCUCUGGUGCCUGGAGCACCUCCUGCCCCUCCUUC